GGGAACGGCGAAUGCUUACACAUGCAGUCGAUUCAAGUUACCUUCGGGUAAUGAGGAUGGCGGACGGGUGAGUAACGCGUAAGGAACUUGCCUCUUGGACUGGGACAACUGUUGGAAACGACAGCUAAUACCGGAUAUUAUGAGAUUCUCGCAUGAGAAACUUAUGAAAGCUAUAUGCGCCAAGAGAGAGCCUUGCGUUCCAUUAGCUAGUUGGUGGGGUAACGGCCCACCAAGGCGACGAUGGAUAGCCGGCCUGAGAGGGUGAACGGCCACAAGGGGACUGAGACACGGCCCUUACUCCUACGGGAGGCAGCAGUGGGGAAUAUUGGACAAUGGGCCACAAGCCUGAUCCAGCAAUUCUGUGUGCACGAUGAAGGUCUUCGGAUUGUAAAGUGCUUUCAGUUGGGAAGAAGAAAGUGACGGUACCAACAGAAGAAGCGACGGCUAAAUACGUGCCAGCAGCCGCGGUAAUACGUAUGUCGCAAGCGUUAUCCGGAUUUAUUAGGCGUAAAGCGCGUCUAGGCGGAAAAAUAAGUCUGAUGUUAAAAUGCGGGGCUCAACUCCGUAUUGCGUUGGAAACUGUUUUUCUAGAGUACUGGAGAGGUGGGCGGAACUACGAGUGUAGAGGUGAAAUUCGUAGAUAUUUGUAGGAAUGCCGAUGGAGAAGUCAGCUCACUGGACAGAUACUGACGCUGAAGCGCGAAAGCGUGGGGAGCAAACAGGAUUAGAUACCCUGGUAGUCCACGCCGUAAACGAUGAUCACUAGGUGUUGGGGGUCGAACCUCAGCGCCCAAGCUAACGCGAUAAGUGAUCCGCCUGGGGAGUACGCACGCAAGUGUGAAACUCAAAGGAAUUGACGGGGACCCGCACAAGCGGUGGAGCAUGUGGUUUAAUUCGACGCAACGCGAGAAACCUUACCAGCGUUUGACAUCCUAAGAAGUUUCCAGAGAUGGAUUCGUGCCGGCUUGCCGGAACUUAUUGACAGGUGGUGCAUGGCUGUCGUCACCUCGUGUCGGGAGAUGUUGGGGUAGGCCCGCCAGCAGUGGAACCCUUAUUGGUUG
rnacentral:rRNA from 1 species